GGAGACGUGGCCGAGCGGUCGAAGGCGGGCGCUUGGAGAGCGUCUGGGCAGCAAUGCCCCUAGAGUUCGAAUCUCUACGUCUCCGCCA
rnacentral:tRNA from 1 species